rnacentral:rRNA from 1 species
CCUUCGGGGGGUAAUCAGCGGCAGACGGGUGAGUAACAUGUAGGUAACCUGCCCUCAAGACGGGGAUAACGCCUGGAAACGGGCGCUAAUACCGGAUGACCUUGGUCGGGGAAGCUCCGGCUAAGGAAAGGCUUUGGCGCUUGAGGAGGGGCCUGCGGCCCAUCAGUUAGUUGGUAGGGUAACGGCCUACCAAGGCGAAGACGGGUAGGGGGUGUGAGAGCACGGNCCCCCACACUGGGACUGAGACACGGCCCAGACUCCUACGGGAGGCAGCAGCGGGGAAUAUUGCGCAAUGGACGGAAGUCAGACGCAGCGACGCCGCGUGUGUGAAGAAGGCCUUCGGGUUGUAAAAGCCCUUUUCUGUGGGAAGAGAAAGGACGGUACCAUAGGAAUAAGCGUCGGCUAACUACGUGCCAGCAGCCGCGGUAAGACGUAAGGACGCGAGCGUUAUCCGGAUUUACUGGGGCGUAAGGCGGUGUGUAGGCGGCGUGACAAUGUUGGGCGUGAAAGCCCCGUGCUCAACGCGGGGAGG